CGACCGGCGCACGGGUGAGUAACACGUAUGCGACCUGCCCGUAGCAGGGGGAUAAGCGGAAGAAAUUCCGUCUAAUACCGCGUAAUAUCUUUCGGGGGCAUCCCUGAGGGAUUAAAGGAAGCGAUUCCGGCUACGGAUGGGCAUGCGGCGCAUUAGCUAGUCGGCGGGGUAACGGCCCACCGAGGCGACGAUGCGUAGGGGUUCUGAGAGGAAGGUCCCCCACACUGGAACUGAGACACGGUCCAGACUCCUACGGAAGGCAGCAG
rnacentral:rRNA from 1 species